rnacentral:rRNA from 1 species
GAGUUUGAUCGUGGCUCAGGAUGAACGCUAGCUACAGGCUUAACACAUGCAAGUCGAGGGGAAACGACAUCGAAAGCUUGCUUUUGAUGGGCGUCGACCGGCGCACGGGUGAGUAACGCGUAUCCAACCUGCCCACCACUUGGGGAUAACCUUGCGAAAGUAAGACUAAUACCCGAUGAUAUCUCUAGACGACAUCUGAAAGGGAUUAAAGAUUUAUCGGUGAUGGAUGGGGAUGCGUCUGAUUAGCUUGUUGGCGGGUAACGGCCCACCAAGGCAACGAUCAGUAGGGGUUCUGAGAGGAAGGUCCCCCCACAUUGGAACUGAGACACGGUCCAAACUCCUACGGGAGCAGCAGUGAGGAAUAUUGGUCAAUGGGCGAGAGCCUGAACCAGCCAAGUAGCGUGCAGGACGACGGCCCUA